rnacentral:rRNA from 1 species
ACGGGAGGCAGCAGUGAGGAAUAUUGGUCAAUGGAGGCAACUCUGAACCAGCCAUCUCGCGUGAAGGAAUACGGCCCUACGGGUCUUAAACUUCUUUUAUAGGGGGAUAAAGUGAGGCAUGCAUGCCUUUUUGUAGGUACCCUAUGAAUAAGCAUCGGCUAACUCCGUGCCAGCAGCCGCGGUAAUACGGAGGAUGCGAGCGUUAUCCGGAUUUAUUGGGUUUAAAGGGUGCGUAGGCGGACUGUUAAGUCAGCGGUGAAAUACCACGGCUCAACCGUGGGGCUGCCGUUGAUACUGGCGGUCUGGAGUACGAUCGGCGCCGGCGGAAUGUGUCAUGUAGCGGUGAAAUGCAUAGAUAUGACACAGAACACCGAUCGCGAAGGCAGCUGGCGAGAACGAUACUGACGCUGAGGCACGAAGGUGCGGGGAUCAAACAGGAUUAGAUACCCUGGUA